rnacentral:lncRNA from 1 species
ACUUCCACCACUGGGCCUGUAGCAGAAGAAAAUCCAUAGAGCCACAGGCUUGGCAGCACAGCAGAGGUGAUUGUCUUCCAACAGCAAGAGGUUAUGAAGGAGAUCUUGACUGCAAGAGGUGCAAAAGGAGGAGGAGAAAAAGGCAGAGGAAUCCCUCACUUCAAAUGAGAUUAUGAAGAUGUGUAAAAUGUGGGCA